rnacentral:rRNA from 1 species
GAUGAACGCUGGCGGCGUGCCUAAUACAUGCAAGUCGAGCGAACGGACGAGAAGCUUGCUUCUCUGAGGUUAGCGGCGGACGGGUGAGUAACACGUGGAUAACCUACCUAUAAGACUGGGAUAACUUCGGGAAACCGGAGCUAAUACCGGAUGAUAUUUUGAACCGCAUGGUUCAAAAGUGAUAGACGGUUUUGCUGUCACUUAUAGAUGGAUCCGCGGUGGAUUAGCUAGGUGGUAAGGUAACGGCCUACCAAGGCAACGAUGCAUAGCCGACCUGAGAGGGGGAUCAGCCAAACCGGAACUGAGGCACGGGCCAGGACCCUAAGGGAGGCAGGCGGGGGGAAUAUUGGAGAAUUGGCGGAAGCCUGAUCGAGGCAUCGCGGGGUGGGUAAGGAGGGUCUUGGGUUCGUAAACCCCUGUUAUUGGGAAGAAAAAUAGGUGUAUGUAACUGUGCUGUUCUGACGGGAACCAAAGAAGAAGGACCCGCUAAACUACUG